GUAACAAGGUCUCCGUUGGUGAACCAGCGGAGGGAUCAUUACCGGGUCACUACGACUACCCGAACCCUGAACUGGUGCAUUUGCCACUUGUUUCUACGCUGCGGCGGGCUGCUCGCUGGGGGAGCCCUGGGCCGACAGGCUGGCCCGCCGCAGCGAACGAAAACCGUCUCCGAGGCAUGAAGCCCCGAGGCAAGCUCCGAGAGGCACUGAAGCCUUGCGAAAGGCAUCUAGUCACAACCCAUAACAAUGGAUCUCUUGGCUCCGGCAUCGAUGAAGAACGCAGCGAAAUGCGAUACGUAAUACGAAUUGCAGAUUCAGUGAAUCAUCGAGUCUUUGAACGCAUAUUGCGCUCCCUGGUAUUCCGGGGAGCAUGUCCGACCGAGCGCCGCGACAACGCUCGGGAAGCGUCCCCUCGCGGGGCGCGUUCCCGGUGUUGGGGCUCGCCUACGCGGCGGCCCUCAAAUCCAGCGGCGGUCGUCCCAAGCGGUCCUCCAGGCGCAGUAGCAAUACCUGCCGCCUAGCGGGGUGCCCCGGGAAGGCCCGCCCGGCGCGUCUCGACGCAGCCGGCAAACAACUCUUGAUGUUGGCCUCGGGUCGGACAAGAUUACCCGCUGAACUUAAGCAUAUCAAUAA
rnacentral:rRNA from 1 species